CAUGCAAACCUUUAUCAUGGCGUCGCUUUAACGAUUUUCUGAUUGGAAACUUUACUAUAUUAAUUUACAUGUAUUGUUUAUGACAGCGAAAUACGGCACAAGUUUCUUCUUCACCGGCUGGAGAAGGAUGGCCUGCCGGUGUCAGUCAUCUAUACCCUUGAAAAGCGAUAUUCAGGAAAUAUUAUAAUAGUCUCGAUGAAAAGUCGAACUUUGUUCAGGCGAAAUA